rnacentral:rRNA from 1 species
CGUAGGUGCGAGCGUUAAUCGGAAUUACUGGGCGUAAAGCGUGCGCAGGCGGUGAUGUAAGACAGUUGUGAAAUCCCCGGGCUCAACCUGGGAACUGCAUCUGUGACUGCAUUGCUGGAGUGCGGCAGAGGGGGAUGGAAUUCCGCGUGUAGCAGUGAAAUGCGUAGAUAUGCGGAGGACACCGAUGGCGAAGGCAAUCCCCUGGGCCUGCACUGACGCUCAUGCACGAAAGCGUGGGGAGCAAACAGGAUU